CAAUAACUAAAGGAAAAUGUACGGUGGGGGAAGCUUUGAAUAGUUUUAGAGGGAGAGCACAAAGAUGAGAAGGAGGGCCAGAGAGCUCCAGAGUUCCUGUGUAGAUAUGGGAGAGCCUUCCAGAAGGACAAUGAUCUCUGCAGCACUCCACCAAUCAGGCCUUUAUAGUCAGACGGAACCCACUUCUCAGUAAAAGUCUCUGAAUGUACUUGGGUGGCCCAGCCAGAGCCCGUACUUGAACCUGAUCAAACAUUUCUGGAAAGACCCGAGAAUAGCUGCGCAGCCACGCUCCCCAUCCAACCUGAUGGAGCUUGAGAGGAUCUACAGAGAAGAAGGGGAGAAACUCCACAAAUACAGGUGUGCCAAGCUUGUAGCGUUAUACCCAACAAGACUCGAGGCUGUAAUCGCUGCCAAAGGUGCUAAAAAAAAUACUGAGUAAAG
ensembl:lncRNA